CGGGGCGUAGCGCAGUCCGGUUUAGCGUGCAUGACUGGGGGUCAUGAGGUCGGAGGUUCAAAUCCUCUCGCCCCGACCA
rnacentral:tRNA from 1 species